rnacentral:rRNA from 1 species
GACAGAGGAUGCAAGCGUUAUCCGGAAUGAUUGGGCGUAAAGCGUCUGUAGGUGGCUUUUUAAGUCCGCCGUCAAAUCCCAGGGCUCAACCCUGGACAGGCGGUGGAAACUACCAAGCUGGAGUACGGUAGGGGCAGAGGGAAUUUCCGGUGGAGCGGUGAAAUUCGUAGAUAUCGGGAGGAACACCGGUGGCGAAGGCGGCGAUCUGGGUAGAUACUGACGCUGAGGUGCGAAAGCGUGGGGAGCAAACAGG